AUAUUGCACAAUGGGCGCAAGCCUGAUGCAGCGACGCCGCGUGAGUGAAGAAGUAUCUCGGUAUGUAAAGCUCUAUCAGCAGGGAAGAAAAUGACGGUACCUGACUAAGAAGCCCCGGCUAACUACGUGCCAGCAGCCGCGGUAAUACGUAGGGGGCAAGCGUUAUCCGGAUUUACUGGGUGUAAAGGGAGCGUAGACGGCGACGCAAGUCUGGAGUGAAAGCCCGGGGCCCAACCCCGGGACUGCUUUGGAAACUGUGCUGCUGGAGUGCAGGAGAGGUAAGUGGAAUUCCUAGUGUAGCGGUGAAAUGCGUAGAUAUUAGGAGGAACACCAGUGGCGAAGGCGGCUUACUGGACUGUAACUGACGUUGAGGCUCGAAAGCGUGGGGAGCAAACAG
rnacentral:rRNA from 1 species